CAUGGCUCAGGAUGAACGCCGGCGGUGUGCCUAAUACAUGCAAGUCGAGCGCACUGGCCCAACCGAUAUGACGUGCUUGCACUGAAUUGACGUUGGAUUCCCAGUGAGCGGCGGACGGGUGAGUAACACGUGGGCAACCUGCCCUGAAGCGGGGGAUAACAUCUGGAAACAGGUGCUAAUACCGCAUAACAACGAAAACCACAUGGUUUUUGUUUCAAAGAUGGUUUCGGCUAUCACUUCAGGAUGGGCCCGCGGUGCAUUAGCUAGUUGGUAAGGUAACGGCUUACCAAGGCGAUGAUGCAUAGCCGAGUUGAGAGACUGAUCGGCCACAAUGGAACUGAGACACGGUCCAUACUCCUACGG
rnacentral:rRNA from 1 species